GCUCAGAAGCAGAGCUGGGGCGUCUCCACCAUGGCCUGGACCCUUCUCCUCCUCGGCCUCCUCGCUCACUGCACAGGGUCCUGGGCGCAGUCCGGGCUGACGCAGGAAGGCUCCGUGUCAGGUUCUGUGGGACAGGAGGUCACCCUCUCCUGCACCGGAAAUGGCAACAAUGUUGGAGCUAAUACCGUUAACUGGUACCAACAGAUUUCUCACGGGGCCCCCAAAACCGCGAUGCUCACAGAUUCUCUGCCCUCAGGGAUCCCAGACCGGUCCUCUGGCUCCACGUCUGUCAACACGGCCUCUCUGACCAUCUUGGGGCUCCAGCCUGAGGACAAGGCUGAUUAUUACUGUUCAACGUGGGAUGACAGCAUCAGUGGAGGCUCUGAGGCCCUCCCCGUGGAUCACUGA